rnacentral:rRNA from 1 species
CCUACGGGUGGCAGCAGUGAGGAAUAUUGGUCAAUGGGCGCGAGCCUGAACCAGCCAAGUCGCGUGCGGGAUGAAGGUUCUAUGGAUCGUAAACCCCUUUUAUAAGGGAAUAAAGUGUGGGACGUGUCCUAUUUUGUAUGUACCUUAUGAAUAAGGACCGGCUAACUCCGUGCCAGCAGCCGCGGUAAUACGGAGGAUCCGAGCGUUAUCCGGAUUUAUUGGGUUUAAAGGGUGCGUAGGCGGCCUUUUAAGUCAGCGGUGAAAGUCCGGGGCUCAACCCGAGAAUUGCAGUUGAAACUGGGGGGCUUGAGUAUGUUUGAGGCAGGCGGAAUGCGUGGUGUAGCGGUGAAAUGCUUAGAUAUCACGAAGAACCCCGAUUGCGAAGGCGGCCUGCCGGGCCAUGACUGACGCUGAUGCACGAAAGCGUGGGGAUCAAACAGGAUUAGAUACCCCUGUAGUC